rnacentral:rRNA from 1 species
CCUUCGGGUUGUAAAGCUCUUUCAGCGGGGACAAAACGGCAACCUGCGAAUAACGGGUGUUAAUGAUGGUACCCGAAGAAGAAAGCACCCGGCUAACUACGUGC